UACGGAGGGCGCAAGCGUUGUUCGGAAUCAUUGGGCGUAAAGCGCGUGCAGGCGGCUUGGUAAGUCGGGUGUGAAAGACCGGGGCUCAACCCCGGAACUGCACCCGAUACUGCCUCGCUAGAGUCUCGGAGAGGAUGGCGGAAUUUCCGGUGUAGAGGUGAAAUUCGUAGAUAUCGGAAGGAACACCAGCGGCGAAGGCGGCCAUCUGGACGGUGACUGACGCUCAGAAGCGAAAGCGUGGGGAGCAAACAGG
rnacentral:rRNA from 1 species